GAAGGCAAAUGAUGUAAUGUUUCUAUGCUAAACACUGAAUCUAAGUGUAGACAAAUAAACUCCGCUUAUUAUCCGAUGCCUUC